rnacentral:rRNA from 1 species
GAUGAAUGCUGGCGGCGUGCCUAACACGUGCAAGUCGAGCGGCAGCGAGGGGUGCUUGCACCCUGUCGGCGAGCGGCGAACGGCUGAGUAACGCGUAGGAAUUUGCCCCAAAGUGAGGAAUAACUGCCCGAAAGGGUAGCUAAUGCCGCAUAUGGUCUUCGGAUUAAAGGAUUUAUCCGCUUUGGGAGAAGCCUGCGUUGGAUUAGGUUGUUGGUAGGGUAAUGGCCUACCAAGCCGACGAUCCAUAGCUGGUCUGAGAGGAUGAUCAGCCAGACUGGAACUGAGACACGGUCCAGACUCCUACGGGAGGCAGCAGUGAGGAAUCUUCCACAAUGGGCGAAAGCCUGAUGGAGCAACACCGCGUGAAGGAUGAAGGCCUUCGGGUUGUAAACUUCUUUUAUGAGUGAAGAAUAUGACGGUAACUCGUGAAUAAGCACCGGCUAACUACGUG